UUAAGAAAUGGAUUAGCAAAACCCUAACUAGAUAAUUAUGUAUAAUGGAGGAAUUAUAUUAUUAUAUAGUUCAAUAUAUGUGAUUUAUAUGAAUUUUAAUAUAUUAUAGACCCCGUUGGUGAGCCAGGGGCAUUUUGGUAAUUAUGACCCGAGAAGGGUAAAAUGAUGAAAUUAAUUUAAUUACGUGCUUAAUAGAACUAUAUUAUUAUAUAGUAUGCCUGUGUUGUCUUUUCAGGUGUGUUCUGACAGGUUAGCGCGGUAUAGUCACAACCGGGAAUUUCGGGCCGAACCGGGUUCGGGCCCGAAAUGUAAAUUGAAUUGAUUAUUUGGCAUUUUAUUUGAUAAAUGAUAAUCUGAAAUUUAUUUGAAAUUAAUUGAGUAUUGAAUGACUAUUUUACCCUUGUGAGGGUGUAUGUGGGUAUUUAAGCCCUAAGGGCAUUUUGGUCAUUUGACCCCUAAUUACUAUGUUUGGAAAAUGUGAUUUUUGAGGGAAAUAGAUUGAUAAUUUUCUGGUGGCUUCACCCUCUCAACCGAACCCUCUCUCCCUCUCUAACCCUUUCUUGAACUUCAAGUGAAAUUGUUGAGAUAUUGAGUGAAUUACUUGGCUUUGAAGCUUGAAAUUGGAAGGAUUUUAAGCUUGGAAUUGAGGUAUCUUCUAGCUGAAGUGAUUUAGAAUUAUUGCUGUGAUUCUUGUUGAUUUUAAUUGUUGAAAAAGCAUGUUUGGAAUUUAGAGUUGCAUGUUCUUGAUGUAGGUUGAAUUUUGGUGUUGAACUUUGUGGAUUUUGAGUGAGAAAUUGCAAGAUGUGGUUUUGAGUUGUUGGUUGUGAUUAUUGAGUAUUUUUCUAGGUCAAAUCUUUGUGAAUUGAUUGUGUUUGCAGCUGGAAUUAUGAACUUGGUUAAGUUGAGCUUCUUGGGUUUGAGCUUCAAUUUUAUGGAGUUAAGGCAUGGAUUUUAUGUGUUUUUAUAAUCUGAAAUUAUGAACUAAAUUGUGGGAUUUUGGAUGCAUAAAUAUAUGUUUUUAAUCCUAUAAUAUUGUCUAGCUGCUGUAAGUGGAUUAAUUGUAAUUUUGGUUGUGAAAAGCAAGCUUGAGUUCAUGGAACUCAAGCUUGGUGCUUUAAUGGCACUUUUUGAUUUUUAGUGCAAUUGUUGUGUUUAAGUUGUGGAAUAUGUUUAUUAUGACAUAUAUUGAUGCUCUGGAAAGUUUGGGAAUGUUUGGGGAUGAUUUGAGUGAGUUUUGGGGGUUUAAAGAUUGAGAAAUUUCGUGUUCUCUGCCCAGACAACCGGAAUUCCGGUUGGUUCAUCCGGAAUUCCGGUUGGUUCAUCCGGAAUUCCGGUUGGAGUUCAUCGGGAAAUGCUGAAUUUUGUUUCGGCCAUAACUUUUGACUCGGGACUCCGUUUGGGACGUUCUUUAUACCGUUGGAAAGCUCUUUUCGAGCUCUAUGUGAUUAUCUGUAUUUGAAAUGCCAUGAAUUUAUUUUAUGAAUGUGAAAUCAGGGGUUAACCCUAUUUGUGAAAAUCCUGGAUUGUGUGACUAGGAUUACCGGCACCUGGUCAGGAGCACCCGGGGAUUCGGAAUCUCUGCCUUUACGGGACAGCAGGAAAGGGUAAGUCAGUGGCUGAUCAACCAUGAGUUUGAGGAGCAAGAUGAAGAAUGUACAUGUUCAAGCCAUAUCAGACCAAGCGGGUUAAGGGUCUAUCAGUGAUGAACUUUUGAAUUCUAUUUUGCCGUUUAGGUCGGCUAGAAAUAAAUGACUUGUAAUAGCGUUUGUAAAUAUUUUUGGGAUCCCAACUAUUUUAAAAGUUUUAAAUAUAUUACAAGUUUAUUUUCUUUCUGUUUAAUAUAAAAGUUUAAAUUCUGCGCUA